rnacentral:misc_RNA from 1 species
UUUUAUUGUCAAUGUUAUGUAUACAUUUAUAAGCAUUAUUGAAAUAUAGACAUGAUGUUUUGAGGGCGAAAUAUGUACAUAUACAAAGUUACUUGCGCUAUUGAUAUAGACGUACAUAUAUAUAGGUUUUUUCAUAUGUACAUAGUUUAGUAAUUCUGUUAAUGUAGUGAUUGGUAAAUUUGUUGAUAAUACGAAUAACUGGUGAAAUUGUGUAAAGGAAAGAAUUUAAUGGAUUGUCGGUGGUUAUAAACCGAGACGAAGUGUGCCCAUUUCGUUAACGGUGGAUCAUUAAAAGAGAAGCUUUAUUACGCUAUAAGUGAAAAUAGAAGACUUUUAAUAAUGGGCUUUGUUAUUUACAUGUACACUGCUAUUUAUUCAAACAAAAUAUCUAUCAAUUAGCGUGUACUGAUUAUCAAUUAUCAAGAUGCGGGAGAGGUUUGGUAUAAUCCCCUGGUGUCGAACGGGGAUUUAAACAAAAUCUUUUACUUAGAAUACUUUCUAUUGUAUUAGAAAAUACGUUAAAAUAAUGGAAAAUAUGCGAGAUCAUAGUUAAAAGAGAAGAUGAUUUUAUGCAUCUUAUAAUUGUUUUGUGUAACAAUCAAUUAUUUGAUUACUGCAUAAGAUUUGUGUUUAAGUGCAGUAUUAAAAUAGAUAUUUGUUAUUAAUAAUAAAUACUAUUGAGUCAUAUAACAUAAUGUAAUAAAAGCAUAGCUUUUAUACACAAGAAAAUAUAUAUCGAAUAAGUAUUACAAAAAUGUCAUUCUUAUCAAAUCUAAAGAAAGCGUUCCACUUUGGUGGUAACGAUGCAAAGAAAAAGAAGCUAUAUAAUAAUAUCAAAAUGGAUUGUAACCCAGAAGAAUUCUGGGAAAUGGUGGGAGAACUGGGAGAUGGUGCUUUUGGCAAAGUUUAUAAGGCACAGCACAGACAAACUCAUCAACUUGCUGCUGCAAAAAUGUGUGCACUAGAGGGAGAAGAUGAUCUUAGUGAUUUUAUGAUCGAAAUAGAUAUUUUAUCAGAAUGUAAACAUCCAAAUGUCGUUGAAUUACACGAAGCAUAUUUCAUUGAGGGCAAGCUAUGGAUGUUAAUAGAAUAUUGUGAUGGUGGUGCUGUUGAUUCCAUAAUGGUUGAAUUACAAAAAGCUUUAACUGAACCACAAAUAGCCUACAUAUGUCACCAUAUGACCAAAGGUCUUGCAUUUUUACAUAAAUCUAAGGUUAUUCACAGGGAUUUAAAAGCAGGAAAUGUUUUAUUAACAAUGGCUGGAGGAGUAAAAUUAGCCGAUUUUGGAGUGUCCGCAAAAAACAAACAUACCUUACAAAAACAUGAUACAUUUAUUGGUACACCAUAUUGGAUGGCCCCAGAAGUAGUAUUAUGCGAAACAUUCAGAGAUAAUCCAUACGAUUUUAAAGUAGACAUUUGGUCACUUGGUAUAACUUUAAUAGAAUUUGCGCAAAUGGAACCACCUAAUCACGAAAUGUCACCAAUGCGUGUGCUUCUUAAAAUACAAAAAAGUGAUCCACCAAAGCUCGAUCAACCUGGAAAGUGGAGCAAAGAAUUUAACGAUUUUAUUGCUAAGGCUCUUAUAAAGGAUCCAACAUCGCGACCUACGGCUGACGAAUUGUUGAAACAUCCAUUCAUAAAUCGGAAUUUGGAUUCAAAACCAAUUAGGGAUUUGCUACUAGAAUACAAAGCCGACGUUGUCGAAGAGGAACUGGUUGACGAAGAAGCAGAGGAGCAACGCACGUCACAGCUUCCACUGGAGCUAGAUCAACUCGGAGAUGACUCUGCGUCUAUGCGCAGUGACGCUGAUGUUAAGAUUUCUGACAAAGAAAAUCUUGUUGCAUCGUCUGUGUCUGCCAAAAAAGAAGAAACCCAUAAACGAGAAAUGAACAGAGAUGGCGAAAAAGAUGACAGGAACAAGAAAUUACGUAAAGCAGAAUCUAAAGACAACAUACCUAUUUCUGUUGAAAAGAAACAAGCACCGAAACCACCUAGUACAAAUGAAACAAAUGAACGUAGAGUAUCUCGGGAGAAAGGUCCUGCACCUCCUCCACCGCUUAUGCGUCAAAAUAGUAAAAGCGAAGACAAGGAAAAUCAUUUGAAAAUUAUCGAUAAACCAAGCGAUACAGAAACAUUAGAUGAAUGUAAAAUUACCGAUAAACAGCGAGAUAAAACUGAAUUACUGCCGAGUCAAGAAACUCUAGACAGGAGGGAAGAAACGAACUUAGAAACGUUUUCCGAGAAACCAAACGUGACUGAUAGUUUAGAAAAGACCACAACAGAGAAUAAUCAAAGGGAGAAGAAUAAUUUAGACAAUGCUAAGAAGGUCGAUGUUAGACAAAAGUCCAUAGAUGAUAAAGUAAAUUCAUCUUUGAAGCCGCAGUUAACGCUAGAAGAGAAGAGGAAAUCUGCACCGGUUAAAUCCGAGGUGUCCGAAGAUUGGAUGAAACCAGUAUUUAGUAAGCAAUCAUCUUUAGAAGAAAAGAAUAGAAUUGACAUGAAAGCAGCGAUCGACGAACGAACGGACAAACAGAGUUUACCGGAAGAGAACUAUAAAAGCUUACAGGAAAAACGAAAAUCCGUAGAGGAAAAGUUGAAUGCCGUUUUAGAAAAACGAUUUUCAAUGGACACCGAAAUGCGGUUGAGUGUUUCUUCCAUGGAAAUGUUACCGCACCGAGAAGUACCAAAGGCAACUUCGUCCGAGAAGAAUAUUAUCAAAGCCUGUUCUACGGAAAAUGUCAAAACCGAUUAUGGAACUUGUAAAACAGAAACUGUCGUUAAAAGUCAUAGCGAAGGAUCUUCCAGAUACGACUCGCUGGAGAACUUCUCGGAUGAAUCCGAUGGGAAACAAGACAAAAAGAAGUGGUUAAGCAAAGAACGUAGUUACGAGAACAUUGCGAACAACGAGAGUCCGAAUCGUGAAAAGAAAGGUUCGUCCGUGAACGUAUCAGUGAUUACAUCGACGCCCAUCAGGAGUAGAAGCACAUCAAGAAGAGGAAGCGGCGAUAACGUAGUUGUCAUAACCGGUAAAUCCGAGCAAGAAGUACGUCCAAAUACAUCAACCGUUCGGAUCACAGCGGACAGUCCAGAUUUAUCUAAUAGCUUAGCGAGUAACGUGAGUCAAGUAACAGUCGUAACGACGCAUCCUCCGGUACUCGUCGAUGCCGUGUCACCAGCACCUCUUUCGUGUCGUCCAUCUCCAACUUCGGAAGUGGUGAUCGUCGCGAACGAAUUAAACAAGACGCAAGUGAACGAGAGUUCAACCGAUGACGACGGAUUUCCUAGUCUGGAUAGUUUAGAGUACACGCCUCAGGAGCAGCCUAUAAUUCUUACCGACAUCUCCAAGAGAGUCGGCAAGAAGUUGGACGAGUCCGAAGUUCUGAUCGUGAGUCCAAUCGUAGACGAAUUACAGGAUACUAGUCAUGUUUCCGUCGUUACCGUUGGCGAAGACAAGGAACAAGUGAAAGAUUCGUCGGUACUUAAUACACACGAUACUCUACGAACGUCUUCCACUCGCGUUGACGCGAACUCGAUCGAAAGGUCGAGCACGAAAAGCGACAGUGGCGAUGAAAUUACUAAAAUGAUAGUCGCUGGAACGACUGUCGAAUCCACGGACGCUGACGAGAUGGAGAGAAACUCCAAGAAGAUGAACGGUAUGAUAAAGAACGACAAGUCCUCCGUUGGUCGCAUCGACGAGAAGACGAUAAAAACGAUGAAACAGAAGGAAGUCGCUAAAGGUUACAAGGAGAAGAGAGUAUCUCCGGACAGUUUCGAGGGAUCCAGAUCUCACAGCGAGUCCGGCUCGACGAGGUCGCAUACUCCGAGCAAGAGCAUCGAUCGUUCCGACGCCGAGUCUAUUUCCACGACGAUCAGUCAGGACAGCAGAGAAUCCAGCAAAGAGAAUCACUUGAAUCAAAGUCAGCCCACGGAAGUGGAAGAGGAAGUGGUAUUACGACGAAAGCCAGAUUACAAUCGCGACAUACAGCGACCGACGAAAACAAAAGAGGACGUGGCUAUGAUGAAUCUGAAGAAAAAGACGAGGAAACGAACCAGGAAGUUCGAGAUCGAUGGUGUGGUAGUCACCACGACGACUUCGAAGGUGAUCUAUGGCGACGACGAGAACGGCAAGGUGUACGACGAUCAAAUAUUCAGGAAACAAGAGCUGCGAGAGUUGAAGAUGUUACAAAAGAUGGAGCAGAAGCAAUUUCAAGAUCUGUCGCAGAAGGCGCAGUUCAACAAGGAUCAACAAGAGAAACGUUUCGAACAAGAAAGGCAGCUUCUCGAACGAAACGCCGAGACGGACUUGGAGAGCCUCGCUCGACAGCAGAGACAGCAGAUCGAGCGAGCCGAGGCGCAACAGGAGGCUGAUCUGAGGCUGGCUUCGAAGAAGAUUCGCAGCGAGCAAGAAAGGGAACUGAAACUGUUCCGUGAAGGAUUGAAGCAAGAAUUGAGAUUGCUCAAGCAAGAGGUGGAUUUAAUGCCAAAAGACAAGAGGAAAAGCGCGUUCAAGAUACGUAAAGAGAAACUGGAGGCGGAACACGAGGAAAGGGAGAAGCACUUUUUGGACAAGCUCAACGAAAGUCACGAAUUAUCGUUGAGAAGAUUGUCGGAUAGUCAUCGCGAGAAGAUAGCGUUGAUGGAAAGGCAGUUCUUACAGCAGAAGCAACAGCUGAUGAGAGCUCGAGAGGCUGCCAUCUGGGAGCAAGAAGAGCGACACAUUCACGAGAAGCAACAACUGCUGAAGAAGCAGUUGAAGGAUAUUUUCUUCCUGCAGAGACACCAGAUGUUGAUACGUCACGAGAAGGAAUUAGAACAAAUGAAGAGGAUGAAUCAACGGAAAGAGGAGGAGCUGAUCAAGCGACAGAACGUGGAGCGUCGAAACUUACCGAAAAGGAUUCGCAACGAGAUGAAGGCUCGCGAGAUGAUGUUCCGCGAGUCGAUGAGAAUCUCGAUGUCGACGGUGAUAGCGCCGGAUCCCGACGCUGAGAGAGAGAAACUGAAGAAGUUCCAAGAGAACGAGAAGAAACGAUACAGAGCGGAGCAGCAGAGAUCCGAGUUGAAGCAUUCGCGGCAGCUGGAGGAGGUAAGAGCGCAAAGCGAAGCGACUAUUAAAGAAUUGGAACAAUUGCAGAACGAGAAACGAAAGAUGCUGAUGGAGCACGAAACGCUGAAGCUGAAGGAGCUGGAAGAGGCGUACGGCAAGGAGCUUCGCGAAUGGAAGGCGCAACUCAAGCCUCGAAAGCAGAAGUUAGAAGCUGAGCUGACGUCUGAAACGGAAGCAUUGGAAGCUCGCUACCGCGACUAUUUGCCCUCGCCUGUUAGUGGUCUCUCUUCUCCUCCUUUAGACUAUUCUCUCUUUAAUUUCGAAUGCUGGAAGAAGUCGCCGCGUUUGCCACGUUCCACUCCUGCGUCUCCAUCUCCGUUCACCAUUCCAAGAGUGUCGCUGAGAGUCGGCAGUUCAGACACCAGUUCCGUCAAUGGCAUGUUUCCACGAAGUCACUCGAAACCGGACCUAGUGCCAUCUCCUUCUCGUAGAUAGUCUACUGUUGUGUCCCUCUCCAAUCUUUCCAAUCUCCCCCUCCUUUUUUUGUUUGUUUAAGCUUUGAAAUAAAAAAUAGUACACUGCUUUUCUCUCGAGAAAAGUGCUCGAAGAUUUCUUUUUCCAUGAACUUUUUUAUUUCAAAGCUCUUGAAUUGUGUUUUAUGGCAUUCAAGCGUAACAUACCCGCUUUACUCACCGUAGCUUUUUCGUUAUUUAGCCGUGUUUAUUUUGUUAAAUGCUCUGUAUUGCAUUCCCAUACAUGUGUAUACAUACAUACAUACAUACAUACAUGUACACACGUUUAACGUAUAUUUUACGUAACCAACCAGUAUAUGUAUCCUAUAUUGUUUUGGGUUCGCACGGAAUAACACUUGAGACAGUAACAAUAUAUUACAAUAGGUAACCUGUUAAUUUAUAACAUUCUACUAAGGAUAGUCGCAACUUGGGAACAAAAAUUUGGCAAGUAUGUACACGUGUAUAUAAAUAUACCAGCUGUAAAGCAAUAGGGGCUUAUCCGUCGAAUCGUGUAUACAGUUUGUGAAACAUUUCGAACUUUAUCGUCGGAAACAUGUGCACCGUUACAGUUACGAUGUUGCAGGUUUAUCCACGUCCACGUACAUGUACAGAAGAGCGCUCGUAAAGUUUCCAUCGAGGAUGAAGCAACAUAGGAUCGUCUAAUUGCAAUCGUUUCAGAAUCGGCUGUGUAAAUAACGAUAUAAAGGGAUGGCUGGUACGCAAAACAUUAUCGAAUGAUCAUACGUAAAUCCUAGGUUGCUUUCCGCCACCGAUGCCACUUUACGUAGACUCUUUUGUUUAAUCAGUUACUUUUCGUUCAUUGUCUCGUCGAUAACAACGCGUAAUCAUCGUGUCCCGACAACACCGGCUUCUUACUUAAACGAUCAGGCGUAACAGGGUGAAUCGGUGGUAAUCGUGGGCUGUAUGUUGUAUACUUAUCGAACAUAGCGAAAAGUAAUGGUAAAUGCUUUGAACGCAUCAGGGGUUUUUAUUGUAUAAAUGUUUCCAAUGUGUACGUUAGACCGUGUCCCCUUACGUGUUCUAUUUCCCUAUAAAAUACCUAAGAAACUGUAUGUCGGGAAAGAGAUUCCACGACUGGAUAUCAGAACGAUCUACUAGGUAAUGAACCAGAAAUUGGAAGAGCAGUUCGCUUUACAAUUAGAGGAACAAGAAGCAAUUUACGGGCCAAGCGCCAUACCGCUGUGCUUGCCAGCAGAUCUUC